rnacentral:SRP_RNA from 1 species
GCCGGGCGUGGUGGCUCAUGCCUGUAAUCCCAGCACUUUGGGAGGCUGAGGCGGGCGCAUCACCUGAGGUCAGGAGUUCGAGACCAGCCUGGCCAACAUGGUGAAACCCCGUCUCUA